rnacentral:rRNA from 1 species
AGCAUAUCAAUAAGCGGAGGAACAAAAACUAACAAGGAUUGCCCUAGUAACGGCGAGUGAAGAGGCAUUAGCCCAGAACCGAAUCCCGCGGCUUAGGCUGUUGGGAAUUGUGGUGUUUGGCUCCCAUCCUACGGCGUGUCGGAGUUGUCCCAAGUCCACGUGAUUGUGGCAUCAAGCCCAGAGAGGGUGCAAGGCCCGUAGGGACGAUACGAUGCGUUGAUAGAUAGGUGUCUAGAGUCGGGUUGUUUGGGAAUGCAGCCCAAAGCAGGUGGUAAACUCCAUCUAAGGCUAAAUACAACACGAGUCCGAUAGCGAACAAGUACCAUGAGGGAAAGUUGAAAAGAACUUUGAAGAGAGAGUUCAAUAGUACGUGAAACCGUUCAGAGGUAAACGGGCGGAGCCGAAGGAGGCGCGCAUCAUUGGCAUUUCGUGCGGCGCAUGCAGUGUGGUCUGGCACUCCUUGCAGAGGUCGGCGCUCUGUGUGUCGUUGUGGGUUGUGCUAUUGUUGUGUGUUGACACCACGAUCGGUGAUUAGGUGGGCCUGUCGCUGUGCAGGAAGGUGGCCUCUUGUCUUACGGCUGGAGGUGUUAUAGCCUGUGAGUGCAGCGCCUGCCGAGCACUGAGUCGCAGUUAAGUGGCAAUAUGCGUGGCGCAAGUUUGCGAGACCGUGGGUUGCGGUGUGUAGGAUCUCAGAUGCUGCGCUCCGUUGGCCCUAGGUAGCGUGGGCCUCUGUGUCGCGUGUGAGAAAUCAGUGGUGCUCAUGUAGGCAAUCUGCCCGACCCGUCUUGAAACACGGACCAAGGAGUUUAGCAUGUGCGCGAGUCAUGGGGUACUACGAAACCUAAAGGCGCAGUGAAAGUAAAGGUCUGGCUUGUCCAGGCUGAGGUAGGAUCCUGGUUCGGGGCACCUUGCGUGUCUGCGGCCGGGCGCACUACCAGCUCGUCCCAUACUUUAUAAAGCGGGGCGACGCAAGAGCGCACACGCUGAGACCCGAAAGAUGGUGAACUAUGCUUGCGUAGGUUGAAGCCAGAGGAAACUCUGGUGGAGGACCGUAGCGGUUCUGACGUGCAAAUCGAUCGUCAAACGUGAGUAUAGGGGCGAAAGACUAAUCGAACCAUCUAGUAGCUGGUUCCCUCCGAAGUUUCCCUCAGGAUAGCUAGCACUCGGGAAACAAACAGUUUUAUCCGGUAAAGCGAAUGAUUAGAAGUAUUGGGGACAAAAUGACCUCAACUUAUUCUCAAACUUUAAAUGGGUGAGAAGCUUGACUCUCUUGAUUUGGAGUUGGGCAUUGAAUGUGAGUGCUCAGUGGGCCAUUUUUGGUAAGCAGAACUGGCGCUGUGGGAUGAACCAAACGUCUGGUUAAGGAGCCUAACACAACGCUCAUGAGAUACCACAAAAGGUGUUGGUUGAUAUAGACAGCAGGACGGUGGUCAUGGAAGUUGAAAUCCGCUAAGGAGUGUGUAACAACUCACCUGCCGAAUCAACCAGCCCUGAAAAUGGAUGGCGCUGGAGCGUUGGUCCUAUACCAGACCGACACCGCAAGCUGCAUGCAGGACGCGGUGUCGAGUAGGAGGGCGCUGUGGUGAGCAUGGAAGCUUCGCUCGUGAGAGUGGGUGGAGCCGCCACAGGUGCAGAUCUUGGUGGUAGUAGCAAAUAUUCAAGUGAGAACCUUGAA